rnacentral:rRNA from 1 species
GGUUGCGAUCAUACCAGCACUAAUGCACCGGAUUCCAUCAGAACUCCGCAGUUAAGCGUGCUUGGGCGGGACUAGUACUAGGAUGGGUGACCCCCUGGGAAGUCCUCGUAUUGUAACCC